rnacentral:rRNA from 1 species
UACGGGAGGCAGCAGUGGGGAAUAUUGGACAAUGGGCGCAAGCCUGAUCCAGCCAUGCCGCGUGAGUGAUGAAGGCCCUAGGGUUGUAAAGCUCUUUUGUGCGGGAAGAUAAUGACGGUACCGCAAGAAUAAGCCCCGGCUAACUUC